rnacentral:ncRNA from 2 species
GUGUUUGCCUUUAAGGUAGAUGCCGAUAAUGGCUUAAAAGGGAAUCCGGUGAAAAUCCGGAACUGCCCCCGCAACUGUAAAUGCAGACGAACAGAGCAUACCACUGUAUAAGCAAGCUGAAUAGGCACUUAUAUGGGAAGGGCUCAUAGUAGGAUGAUGCAUCAGUCAGGAGACCUGUCUAUCUUAACUUGUUUCA